CCAUGUCCAUUAAUGUCCAUGC
rnacentral:siRNA from 1 species